UACAUUUUCAACAAUUUCAGUAUAAAUCCACCUGUACAUGAAUGAAUGAAUUAAUUAAGUUAUUUAUUCAACCAACUUAAGCACAUAACAUCAUUCAAACACAGGUCAUGACAGCUCUGCAAAACAAUUCAAAUAGUGUGGAAACAAUUCCCUUUCAAAACAAAGAGCUUAAACUCUGCUAAUGAGAUUAAGUUUGAGAUGUUUCUGUAAGUCCUUCCAUGCUACUGAAUCAAAGCAUCUUACUGUCUAGCCACUGUGGCACUGCUGACAUAAGCUAUGAUUUACUUUGCAGUAAACAUUUAUAAGAUGGCUCAGACAGAUGGAUCAGCAACCUGUCACGUUUCAGCCUGAAAAACAAACAAACAAACAAACAACUUGUCCGAUAAACAAGCAGGAUGGUAGCACUGGUCCAGCUCGAUGUGGACAGAUCGAAGCAGAAGCGAUGGAGGAAACAACGCCAGACCCCGCGUUCGUGGAUGUGGACCAGGGCUUGACUCUGGCAUGCAUUGCUUUCCUCUGCCUGCUGCUGGUGGCCAUGAUUAUCCGCUGUGCCAAAGUCAUCAUGGACCCAUACAGCGCCAUCCCCACGUCCACCUGGGAGGAGCAGCAUCUAGACGACUAGCAUGACUUGCAGACAAACCUGUGUCCAGGAUGCAAGGUCAAGUUACAUGGACUUACUCCAAUACUGAAGCACACCAACUAGAGUCUCUACAAGCUUUGAAACUACCUACAACACUGGGACCGGGCAGAACAACCCAACACUGCACAGAACUGUUCCCAGAGCAACAUAUCAAAUACACUAAGAUAAUAAUCAUUGAAUGAAUUUGAGAAUGGUGAGUUAUAUUUUUGGGGGAACCUUUUAGGUUUUGUACAUUUUUCUAAUAAUCAUGAUGGAUGGGGUGUGCGAAUGUAAUAUAUAAUAAUGUAUAAUGUAAUGUUCAGUGAAAUGAAGCCUGGCUUGGAGGCAUGUUUACAAAGCUGCGCAUAAGGACCAUUCAACAUUGAAAUGAGUGUUAUUUAUAUCUGUUUACAGUUAAGCGACAAAAAUAAGUACGCUAGCUUGAAUGCAAUUCAGGAUGAGGAUGAGGUUUGUGCCGAUAAUAAGUUAUACAACAUAUCAUAAUAAUCAACAUGCACAACAUCAUUACUCUUCCAUUUAGGAGGAGGCCGCCUGGGCAGACAGUACUUUUAGGUUGUCUGUCGCAUUGGGAAAGAAGCCUUUGAAGGUAGCACCAUAUCUUUCUUCUUGAAGGCAUUACAAUAAAAAAAAACAAAAAAAACAAUCAGUAGCUAUGAAGUGGCUUUUUGAUUCAAAUGCUACUCAAUGAGAAAAAGUACUGGUAAACAUUGUCAUUUUUAAUAUACUGUGUUAAUGUCAUAAACGGUGAGAAAAUUUUGAAAAUGUAUUAUCGGCACAUGCCUGUUUAGGAUACUCAACUCCAGAUCAAGCCAUUUAGCUGAGGUUUAGAGGAAUUCCCUUUAUUCUUAAAUGUGACUGCCUUUGGCUGCUACUUAAAGUCCACUUCCUUUGCUCCUCUGUUGUCUUGAGCCAUAUCAAUUACCGCAUUUAUCUGCAGAGAAUUAUAACCAUAACUGCAUGUUAUCAAGUGCCUCAGCCAAAAUCACAAAGACUGUCUUGAAGCAGCACACAAUCAAAAUAAUGUGUAGCAGAUCAAACAAUAAUGUCUUGACUGAUUGAAACUGCAACUGUG
ensembl:lncRNA